CGAGAAAGCCCGCAAGGGUGAGUACAGCGGCGCUAUUUGGCCGUAACACGUGGGUAAUCUGCCUCGAAGUCUGGAAUAACACUCCGAAAGGGGUGCUAAUGCCGGAUGAGACCACGGGGGCUUCGGCUCCCGAGGGAAAAGAUGGCCUCUGCAUGCAAGCUAUCGCUUCGAGAUGAGCCCGCGGCCCAUCAGCUCGUUGGCGGGGUAACGGCCCACCAAGGCUACGACGGGUAGCUGGUCUGAGAGGACGAUCAGCCACACUGGAACUGAGACACUGUCCAGACUCCUACGGGAGGCACCAGUGGG
rnacentral:sRNA from 1 species